GUUAGUACUUGGUUGGGAGACUGAAUGGGAAUACUAGGUGCUGUAAGCUUUUUAUUUGGAUCAGUGUUUUCAUGGCCUCUGCACAACAUCCUGUUUUGGGAUAAAGGUUGGACACAGGUUUGAAGGGGACCCAAUCAAUCAAUCAAUCAAUCAGUCAGUCAGUCAGUCAGUCAGUCAGUCUUUUGAUUACACUAUUUAAAUAGCCCCAUUUGGGGUCAGCUUUCGCUUACGGCCAUACCACUCUGAAAAAGCCUGAUCUCAUCUGACCUCGGAAGCAAAGCAGAGUUGGGCCUGGUUAGUACUUGGUUGGGAGACUGAAUGGGAAUACUAGGUGCUGUAAGCUUUUUAUUUGGAUCAGUGUUUCAUGGCCUCUGC
ensembl:lncRNA